rnacentral:rRNA from 1 species
AGAUACCCCCGUAGUCCCAGCCGUAAACUAUGCUCGCUAGGUGUCAGGCAUGGCGCGACCGUGUCUGGUGCCGCAGGGAAGCCGUGAAGCGAGCCACCUGGGAAGUACGGCCGCAAGGCUGAAACUUAAAGGAAUUGGCGGGGGAGCACAACAACGGGUGGAGCCUGCGGUUUAAUUGGACUCAACGCCGGGAAGCUCACCGGAUAAGACAGCAGAAUGAUUGCCGGGCUGAAGACCCUGCAUGACUAGCUG